AUCCAUCUGACGAGUCCCAAAUAGGACGAAACGCGCGUCCUGGAA
rnacentral:hammerhead_ribozyme from 1 species